rnacentral:rRNA from 1 species
GAUGAACGCUGGCGGCGUGCCUAAUACAUGCAAGUCGAACGAAUCUUCUUCGGAAGAUGAGUGGCGAACGGGUGAGUAAUACAUAGGUAACCUGCCCCUGUGCGGGGGAUAACAGGAGGAAACUCCUGCUAAUACCGCAUAGCCAUGAGCACCGCAUGGAGCUCAUGCCAAAUAUCCUUUACGGGAUAGCGCAGGGAUGGACCUAUGGCGCAUUAGCUAGUUGGCGGGGCAACGGCCCACCAAGGCAACGAUGCGUAGCCGGCCUGAGAGGGCGGACGGCCACAUUGGGACUGAGACACGGCCCAGACUCCUACGGGAGGCAGCAGUAGGGAAUUUUCGGCAAUGGGGGAAACCCUGACCGAGCAACGCCGCGUGAGCGAAGAAGGCCUUCGGGUCGUAAAGCUCUGUUGUAAAGGAAGAACGUCGGACACAGGAAAUGGUGUGCGAGUGACGGUACUUUACCAGAAAGCCACGGCUAACUACGUGCCAGCAGCCGCGGUAAUACGUAGGUGGCGAGCGUUAUCCGGAAUCAUUCGGCGUUAUGAGGGAGCAGGCGGCCGCAAGGGUCUGCUGGUGAAAGACCGAAGAUAAACUUCGGUGAGCCAUGGAAACCGGGCGGAUAGAGUGCGGAAGAGGAUCGUGGAAUUCCAUGUGUAGCGGUGAAAUGCGUAGAUAUAUGGAGGAACACCAGUGGCGAAGGCGACGGUGUGGGCCGCAACUGACGCUCAUUCCCGAAAGCGUGGGGAGCAAAUAAGGAUUAGAUACCCUAGUAGUCCACGCCGUAAAC